rnacentral:ncRNA from 5 species
GGGCGAAAGACUAAUCGAACCAUC